rnacentral:rRNA from 1 species
AGCGAACAGACGAGGAGCUUGCUUCUCUGACGUUAGCGGCGGACGGGUGAGUAACACGUGGAUAACCUACCUAUAAGACUGGGAUAACUUCGGGAAACCGGAGCUAAUACCGGAUAAUAUAUUGAACCGCAUGGUUCAAUAGUGAAAGACGGUUUUGCUGUCACUUAUAGAUGGAUCCGCGUCGCAUUAGCUAGUUGGUAAGGUAACGGCUUACCAAGGCAACGAUGCGUAGCCGACCUGAGAGGGUGAUCGGCCACACUGGAACUGAGACACGGUCCAGACUCCUACGGGAGGCAGCAGUAGGGAAUCUUCCGCAAUGGGCGAAAGCCUGACGGAGCAACGCCGCGUGAGUGAUGAAGGUCUUCGGAUCGUAAAACUCUGUUAUUAGGGAAGAACAAAUGUGUAAGUAACUAUGCACGUCUUGACGGUACCUAAUCAGAAAGCCACGGCUAGCUACGUGCCAGCAGCCGCGGUAAUACGUAGGUGGCAAGCGUUAUCCGGAAUUAUUGGGCGUAAAGCGCGCGUAGGCGGUUUUUUAAGUCUGAUGUGAAAGCCCACGGCUCAACCGUGGAGGGUCAUUGGAAACUGGAAAACUUGAGUGCAGAAGAGGAAAGUGGAAUUCCAUGUGUAGCGGUGAAAUGCGCAGAGAUAUGGAGGAACACCAGUGGCGAAGGCGACUUUCUGGUCCUGUAACUGACGCUGAUGUGCGAAAGCGUGGGGAUC